CCUACGGGUGGCAGCAGUGAGGAAUAUUCGUCAAUGGACGAGAGUCUGAACCAGCCAAGUAGCGUGAAGGAUGACUGCCCUAUGGGUUGUAAACUUCUUUUAUAUGGGAAUAAAAUGUUCCACGUGUGGGAUUUUGUAUGUACCAUAUGUAUAAGGAUCGGCUAACUCCGUGCCAGCAGCCGCGGUAAUACGGAGGAUCCGAGCGUUAUCCGGAUUAAUUGGGUUUAAAGGGAGCGUAUGUGGAUUGUUAAGUCAGUUGUGAAAGUUUGCGGCUCACCAGUAAAGUUGCAGUUGAAACUGGGAGUCUUGAGUACAGUAGAGGUGGGCGGAAUUCGUAGUGUAGCGGUGAAAUGCUUAGAUAUCACGAAGAAAUCCGAUUGCGAAGGCAGCUCAAUGGACUGCAACUGACACUGAGGCUAGAAAGUGUGGGUAUCAAACAGGAUUAGAUAACCCUGGUAGUC
rnacentral:rRNA from 1 species